rnacentral:rRNA from 1 species
UACAGAGGUCCCGAGCGUUGUUCGGAUUCACUGGGCGUAAAGGGUGCGCAGGUGGCAUGGCAAGUUUGAUGUGAAAUCUCCGGGCUCAACCCGGAAAAGGCAUUGAAUACUGCUGUGCUGGAGGUUUGGAGGGGGGACUGGAAUUCUCGGUGUAGCAGUGAAAUGCGUAGAUAUCGAGAGGAACACCAGUGGCGAAGGCGAGUCCCUGGACAACACCUGACACUGAGGCACGAAAGCCAGGGGAGCAAACGGG